AAAGCGUCCGUAGGUGGUUUGUUAAGUCAGGGGUGAAAUCCCAGGGCCCAACCCUGGAACUGCCUUUGAUACUGGCAAGCUGGAGCGUGAUAGAGGAAGAUGGAACAUCUGGUGUAGGGGUGAAAUCCGUAGAUAUCAGAUAGAACACCAAUGGCGAAGGCAGUCUUCUGGAUCAUUGCUGACACUGAGGGACGAAAGCGUGGGUAGCAAACAGAAUUAGAUACUCUGGUAGUCCACGCCCUAAACGAUGCCUGCUUGUUGUUGGUUCCCUUCGGGGUAUCAGUGACGUAGCUAACGCGUUAAGCAGGCCGCCUGGGGAGUACGAUCGCAAGAUUAAAACUUAAAGGAAUUGACGGGGACCCGCACAAGCGGUGGAGUAUGUUGUUUAAUUCGAUGCUACGCGAGAAACCUUACCGACCCUUGACAUCUUGGUCGCGAUUUCCAGAGAUGGAUUUCUUCAAUUCGGUUGGACCAAAGACAGAUGCUGCAUGGCUGUCGUCAGCUCGUGUCGUGAGAUGUUAGGUUAAGUCCUGCAACGAGCGCAACCCACGCCCUAUGUUGCCAGCGGGUAAUGCCGGGAACUCUUAGGGGACUGCCCGCGUCAAGCGGGAGGAAGGUGUGGAUGACGUCAAGUCAUCAUGGUUCUUACGGGUCGGGCUACAAACGUACUACAAUGGCGUCAACAAUGGGUCGCAAUACCGCAAGGUAAAGCCAAUCCUUAAAAGACGUCUCAGUUCAGAUUGCCCUCUGCAACUCGAGGACAUGAAGCUGGAAUCGCUAGUAAUCGCUGAUCAGAAUGCAGCGGUGAAUACGUUCCCGGGUCUUGUACACACCGCCUGUCAAACCAUGAGAGUCGAUUUCACCCGAAGUCGGUAGUUUAACGCAAGAGAACGCCGCCUACGGUGGGGUUGGUGAUUGGGGUUAAGUCAAAACAAGGUAGCAGUACCGGAAGGUGCAGCUA
rnacentral:rRNA from 1 species